rnacentral:rRNA from 1 species
CUACGGGAGGCAGCAGUGGGGAAUCUUCCGCAAUGGGCGAAAGCCUGACGGAGCAACGCCGCGUGGGUGAAGAAGGCCUUCGGGUUGUAAAGCCCUGUCUUAUGGGACGAAGAAAGUGACGGUACCAUAGGAGGAAGCCACGGCUAACUACGUGCCAGCAGCCGCGGUAAUACGUAGGUGGCAAGCGUUGUCCGGAAUUACUGGGCGUAAAGGGUGCGCAGGCGGUAACUUAAGUCGGAUGUGAAAACUAGAGGCUAAACCACUAGAUUGCAUUUGAAACUGGGUUGCUUGAGUGCAGGAGAGGGCAGUGGAAUUCCUAGUGUAGCGGUGAAAUGCGUAGAUAUUAGGAGGAACACCAGUGGCGAAGGCGGCUGCCUGGACUGUAACUGACGCUGAGGCACGAAAGCGUGGGGAGCGAACAGGAUUAGAUACCCCGGU